rnacentral:rRNA from 1 species
GAUGAACGCUGGCGGCGUGCUUAACACAUGCAAGUCGAACGGAGUUAUUUGAAAGCUUGCUUUUGAAUAACUUAGUGGCGGACGGGUGAGUAACGCGUGGGUGACCUGCCUUAUACUGGGGGAUAACACUUAGAAAUAGGUGCUAAUACCGCAUAAGCGCACAGUUCUGCAUGGAACAGUGUGAAAAACUCCGGUGGUAUAAGAUGGACCCGCGUCUGAUUAGCUAGUUGGUGGGUAAAGGCCCACCAAGGCGACGAUCAGUAGCCGGACUGAGAGGUUGACCGGCCACAUUGGGACUGAGAUACGGCCCAGACUCCUACGGGAGCAGCAGUGGGAAUAUUGGGCAAUGGACGCAAGUCUGACCCAGCAACGCCGCGUGAAGGAAGAAGGCUUUCGGGUUGUAAACUUCUUUAAGGGGAGAGUAGAAGACGGUACCCUAGAAUAAGCCACGGCUAACUACGUG